rnacentral:lncRNA from 1 species
UUCAAGUGUGGCACUGGGAGGAGAGUGUAUUGGUUCAGAGGACUGUGUGUGUGUGUGCGCACGUGUGCGUGUGUGCACGCAUGCAAGCAAAUGUGACCUUGCUGCUGGAGUGGAGGUUAUGCGGGUGGAGAAGGAGCUGUGUUGGGCCCUGAGGGCCAGGAUUGCCUGCAGUUGCCCUGGAGGCCGGUACCUUGUGGUGGCUCCAUUGGAGGAAGUGUGAGCUGCUCAGUAGGCAGGUGGUCGUGUGUGCUCCUCUUUGCCCCAGCUUCUGGAAGCGCUGGGAGACGGAGAGAGUCGGCAGGACUCCCACUGUGGGCCUUGGAGGGAAGAAGGCCUCUGCAUCCUGGGGUGGGCCAAGGCUGCCUGCCAGCACCCAGCACCCAGCACCCACUGGCAUCUUCCACAGCAGCCUUGGGUCUGCACAAACUGGCUACAAACACAUAUGACUGCAUCUCACUCCAGUCCACAGCCAUGCCAAGGAGGAGGAUGCUACUCCCUGGGGCCCGCCUGCAGAGAGCCCCACGAGAUCUUCCUUGAGGAUUUGUUUUCUACCUUGAACUUUCACAGGCAUUUUACUUCCUACCCCAUGCUAUGUCCUUGUAUGUUUUAGUAUCAAAAUAAUGCUUUCCAUCACUUACCAUUGGAAAAAAACGGACACUCGAAGAGAUAAGGCAAAUUAUCAGGCCUGAGCUGUUCUUGCCCCUCUUCCUGGGUUUGGAAAGAGUGCAGAACCAGGAGCGAUAGGCCUGGGCCCAGGCUUGGCCCUGCAGACGAUGAUGGCUAAGUCAUCCAUAGAAUGGGCUGGUGAGCCUGCCGUGCCUUGCCUUAGGACAGUGGCCACCACUAAAUGGAGCAGUGGGUGUGAAGACUAAUGAUUCACACAUGGAACUUGAGGUGUCGGCUGGCUGUCUGGGGGCUGGGCCCCUCUCCAGGCCCCUCUGAGACUGGAGAAGCUGGAGGGAGCCUGAGGCCGACACCCCCAGCAUGGCCGCCACCCAGAUUCCCCCGAGCAGGCCGGGGACUGGGGGUCCAGGCAGCAGCUGCCCCCUCCCAGGCUAGAGGAAAGGGUGAGCUCACCCCCUGGCCCAGGCAGAGUGAGGGGGGUAGGAGACAUAAUUAAAAUGCCAGAGGUUAGGAGGUGAAGUUACAAUGGAAAGAAUGAAGCCCCAGCCCUGCUGCCGCUGCUUCUCCCACCCCGCUCCCUUUGCCAAGCCCACAUUUGAUUUUUAUUUCGGGAGCCGCCAGCACAGCACUUGGGAGGGAGUGGAGAAACCUCACUCCGGCUUGCCUUGCCAAGUCUGGAGCUGGGGCCACAGAGUGGGGAGGGGGCUCCUGGGACCCAGAGGAAGAGCCCAGAGGCCCCCACCCCAGGACCCAACGUCCUCAGGGAUCAGGUGCCAGGGAAGGGUGGCACUUGGGGCAGGGAGUGGGCUUGGGAGGCCAGGAAGAGAGACCUCGAAACAAUGAAGGCAUUCCUCGAUGUUUGCAUGAGGCUUUGCGCCUUCACUUUACUCUGGAGGCUGACCCCGGCCUCUUUCCCACUCCCAGCGCUAACUCCGCCUGCCCCCAACACUGGAGACUUUCAGUGCCCACUGGCAUGUGCAUAUUUGUGAAAGGGUUGCUGUGUGGCCCUGGGGAAGUUACUACCCCUCUCUGGACCUCAGUCUUCUCUCUGUGAAAUGGGCAGGUUGGCAAGAUUAGCAGGUUCAAACUGGGCUCUGCAAGGGUGUUGGAGGCCUGGGCCCUGCCCUCUCCUGGCCACCCUUUCCUGAGCACAUCUCUUAUCUGCCCCUUCUAGGGACUGGGGAGGUGGAGGCAGCGGUUGGCCCAUCCCCUGAGCCCCCGCCGCCCCCCUGCAGACGGGAGCUGCUGGGGCCAACUCACAUUUUCCUGCUCUCGGCUUUCUCCUCUGCCCAUAAUGCACUCCAGAUGGUCUCUCCAUCGGAGAGCCGAGGCAGCG